rnacentral:rRNA from 1 species
CCUACGGGGGGCAGCAGUGAGGAAUAUUGGUCAAUGGGCGCGAGCCUGAACCAGCCAAGUCGCGUGCAGGAUGACUGCCCUACGGGUUGUAAACUUCUUUUAUACAAGAAUAAACUGAGGUACGCGUGCCUUUUUGUAUGUAUCUUAUGAAUAAGGAUCGGCUAACUCCGUGCCAGCAGCCGCGGUAAUACGGAGGAUUCGAGCGUUAUCCGGAUUUAUUGGGUUUAAAGGGAGCGUAGAUGGGUUGUUAAGUUAGUUGUGAAAGUUUGCGGCUCAACCUUCAAAUUGCAAUUGAUACUGGUAGGCUAGAGAACAGUUGCGGUAGGCGGAAGUCGUGGUGUAGCGGUGAAAUGCUUAGAUAUCACACAGAACACCGAUUGCGAAGGCAGCCUACUAAGCUACCACUGACGUUGAGGCACGAAAGUGUGGGGAUCAAACAGGAUUAGAUACCCGAGUAGUC